rnacentral:lncRNA from 1 species
UAUUUUUCAAAUAAAGUAAGAUAAAAGACACCUAAAGUACACUACUUUAUUGUUAAAUGUCGUACUCGUUAAGAAAUCAAAUAAUGAAUGGUACAUGUGCAUUGAUUAUACAACGUAAUGCGUUUUAGAUUCAAAAAUAGAGGGGCAAAAAAAAUGAUGAAGAAAGUCUUUAAAUACGAAACUGAGAAUAUGCCUAAAAUCUAAAUGGAUACAUUAUUGUAAACCUAAAGAAAAUGUAGAUCAUACCAUCCAUCUCAAGGAAAUUUCUAACAAAUCAAAAAAUAUAAUAUGUGUCUCAACCAGGAAAAAAAAAUGUAAUGUUUGGAAUCCACACGAAUAAGUUCCUCGGAUUUUACUUAAUCGAAAGAGGGAUUGAAGCAAAUUCGGAUAAAUGCAGAGCUUUCAUUGAGAUACCUACUCCAAAGAAAUCAAUCUAAAUGUUGGAAGACGUCUAAUAUGCCCCUCCUUUCUACAGGUUGUUGAGGAAGGAAUCUGCAUCUGAAUGGUCUGAAGAAUGCGAAUUUGAAGCGACUCUAGCCCGACUUAAACAUGCCCUAUCUCAAAUACCAAUUCUCUAAUGAUCCAAAAAGGGAGAGAUAAUGUUCAUAUAUCUAUCAAUUUCGGCAAAAGCAAUCAAUGAGCCUUGAUUAGAGAGAGCGACAGAGGUCAAAAACUCAUCUAUUUCACCAACAAAGCAUUACAAGGACCUGAAAUACGGUAUAUCAAAAUAGAAAAGUAGUCCUCACCCUAGUGAUGACCACAAGACAAUCAUACAAAAACUCAAAGAAAAACACAAUCUUACAAAAAUCUUUUCAUUCACUCUAAUAUUACUAAUAAUCAUUAUGGUUGAUGAUUAUUAACAAUCUUUCUUCUAACUAGUUACCCGCACUUGCCUUCAAGACAAUUAGUUAAAAGACAUGUUUGUAUAUUCACAAAUUUAUAAAACUAAAAUGAGUGAUGAUCAUAUAUGAGGGAAGACCCUUUAUUUCAAGUGUUGCUUUGUGGUGAUGUGGUCUUAGUUUUGUUAUCUUUACUCUUGAAUUUGUAUUGAAUAUGUUCAGUUUGUUAUAGAAACUGAAUUUGAGAUAUGUGACGGUGCAUAUCUAUUAUGAACGUGUUUUUUGAUAGGGGUGUUCAAAACCGAACCAACCUAAUAGAAAAACCUCAAAUCAAAUCAAUCCAAAUCGAAACCGCAAAAAACUGCAUUUGGUUCGGAUGAAUUCGGAUGACUUUUGCACUGAAUCGUGCGGUUUCGUUCGGUUUUUGGUUUGCAUCUUAGCAACCAAACCAAACCAAACCAAACCGCAAGAAUAAUGAAUAUUACUGAAACAUGUACUAGCCCAAUUACAUAACCCA